GACGAACGCUGGCGGCGUGCCUAAUACAUGCAAGUUGAGCGCUGAAGGUUGGUACUUGUACCAACUGGAUGAGCAGCGAACGGGUGGGUAACGCGUGGGGAAUCUGCCUUUGAGCGGGGGACAACAUUUGGAAACGAAUGCUAAUACCGCAUAAAAACUUUAAACACAAGUUUUAAGUUUGAAAGAUGCAAUUGCAUCACUCAAAGAUGAUCCCGCGUUGUAUUAGCUAGUUGGUGAGGUAAAGGCUCACCAAGGCGAUGAUACAUAGCCGAUCUGAGAGGGUGAUCGGCCACAUUGGGACUGAGACACGGCCCAAACUCCUACGGGACGCAGCAGUAGGGAGUCUUCGGCAAUGGACGAAAGUCUGACCGAGCAACGCCGCGUGAGUGAAGAAGGUUUUCGGAUCGCAAAACUCUGUUGGUAGAGAAGAACGUUUGUGAGAGUGGAAAGCUCAUCAAGUGACGGUAACUUCCCAGAAAGGGACGGCUAACUACGUG
rnacentral:rRNA from 1 species